rnacentral:rRNA from 1 species
GCGUUAAUCGGAAUCACUGGGCGUAAAGCGCUCGUAGGCUGUUUGGUCAGUCAGAUGUGAAAGCCCUCGGCUUACCCGGGGAACUGCAUUUGAUACUGCCAGACUUGAGUGUCGGAGAGGGUGGCGGAAUUCCAGGUGUAGGAGUGAAAUCCGUAGAUAUCUGGAGGAACACCAGUGGCGAAGGCGGCCCCCUGGACGACAACUGACGCUGAGGAGCGAAAGCGUG